rnacentral:rRNA from 1 species
GCGAAUACCGGAGAAUGUUAUCACGGGAGACACACGGCGGGUGCUAACGUCCGUCGUGAAGAGGGAAACAACCCAGACCGCCAGCUAAGGUCCCAAAGUCAUGGUUAAGUGGGAAACGAUGUGGGAAGGCCCAGACAGCCAGGAUGUUGGCUUAGAAGCAGCCAUCAUUUAAAGAAAGCGUAAUAGCUCACUGGUCGAGUCGGCCUGCGCGGAAGAUGUAACGGGGCUAAACCAUGCACCGAAGCUGCGGCAGCGACACUGUGUGUUGUUGGGUAGGGGAGCGUUCUGUAAGCCUGUGAAGGUGGCCUGUGAGGGUUGCUGGAGGUAUCAGAAGUGCGAAUGCUGACAUAAGUAACGAUAAAGCGGGUGAAAAGCCCGCUCGCCGGAAGACCAAGGGUUCCUGUCCAACGUUAAUCGGGGCAGGGUGAGUCGACCCCUAAGGCGAGGCCGAAAGGCGUAGUCGAUGGGAAACGGGUUAAUAUUCCCGUACUUGGUGUUACUGCGAAGGGGGGACGGAGAAGGCUAUGUUGGCCGGGCGACGGUUGUCCCGGUUUAAGCGUGUAGGUGUGUGUUCCAGGUAAAUCCGGUUC